UCCUCGUUAGUAUAGUGGUGAGUGUCCCCGUCUGUCACGCGGGAGACCGGGGUUCGAUUCCCCGACGGGGAG
rnacentral:tRNA from 2 species